ensembl:misc_RNA 7SK 7SK RNA
UGCUGUGAAAGAGUUCAGGCUGAGACAUCUGUUAUCCCAUUGAUCUGCAGGGCUAAAUUGUCUGCCACGGUGGGCUGGCAGGGUUUCCCCUCCCUGCUUCACUCUUUCAUAGACAUCUUCCCUUGGCCAAAUAGAAUGGCCUAUCCAAGAGAACAGGACCUUCUUUGGUCAAUAGCAUAAGAACGCCAAGCUGCCUCCUAUGUGUACUGCAGUGUGAUGCUUCUUUUCAUAAUACUAUUCCCUUCUGUAGACCAGACCCAGAGACUGUAACAGAGUGUCUAUUUACG